CAGGCAAACCAAAACAGAAUGUAUGCAGAGAAUGAUAGUCUAAUGCUCAAGAGUGAAAAUGGCAGAACAGACAGCAGCAAGGGCAAGGGCUUCCCUACCAAAGACAGCAGAAACUGAAACUUUAGCCGAAGUAGCAGACCAUAUGACGGUGGCAGUUGUGGAAUAUACAAACCAGAGUGUGUAUAUUGGAGAAAUGGAGGGAAACAUGAUGACCUUUGCCCGUCGGCCAGUCGGAAAACUAACAAGUUCUCUCAACGUAAAAAAUAAACAGAGCGUGAUUUUGAAACCCUUGGACAAAAUGAAAAUUAAUCGUCGAUUUUUAAUUGCAAAAUUCGAAGGAUGUAAGAAAGACAACGUAAUACAAUUAUCGGAAAUUCAGAUUCAACUUAUAAAUCAGUCCGUAGCUUCGUAUUGUUCCAAACAAGCUUCAGACAUCCAAAACCUCAUAUAUUUGGUAUGAUCACAAAUAUCAGAUAACAGUGUGCCUGUACAUAUCUUUUAAACCUUGUUUUUGUAUUUCAGUAAGCUUACAUUGUGUUUACAUUUUGUAAAUAUUUGUACAUUUUAUGAUUGAGUUAUUUUUUUAUAUACUUUUGCUUUGCCUUAAAGCCUAUUUUAUUUUAGUAAGUAAAUAAUUCAAGUUUCAUUUUUUGAACAGAGAGAAUCGGUCAAUGGCGAAGUCGGGAAUCUAGUCUUGGUCUCUCGAGAGCCAUUCCAGUAUGCUAAGCUCUUACACUACAUAACUAAUUAUUAAAGUUCUUCCUGUGAUUUCUGUGAUGGAGUUUUUUUUAUUUAUCCACUCCUCUGUGCAUAACGCCUGACAUAUUUGAGAAAGUGCCGUCUUUGGUAUUCAUGAAAUAUUACAUUUAUACCCUUUAUUGUCACUUGAUAACAGUUCGAAGGCCAUCAUGCUUUGGCUCAUCUACUUUGUGUUUAUUAUAUUUUUUUUUUCAUUUUUUUUUUCAUAAUUUGAUUGUAUGAAAUACCCCUUCUUACAACAACAUUUGUGUCCAGCAUAAGCUGACUCAGAGUCUGAUAUAGUGACAUCCUUGUAGGAAAUAUAAAUCCACUUUUAAAUGUUUGCUAUAGGUUGUUUAGCAUAUACUAUAAAGUAUUCCGAUCAAGAACAUGUCUUGUAAAUGACGAGAACGAAUGAUAGAAGUAUUAUUAUUUUCUUGAAUAGAUAACUUUAAGCAGAUACUUUAGGUUUAUUUUAAUGAUAUGGAAAGAAAUAUAGAACAAUAAAAAAGUAUUGAACCUGCUCCAUGUUUACUGAUGGAACAUUCACCAAUUAUGUUAAUCAUGUUCUCGAUGACUUUUUUUAUUUAAGCAUACUUUAAAUGUACUGUUCAUAACAUACACUAAGUUGUUUGUCAUUCACGUUGUGAAUAAAUUGUUUAAAACUGUAUAUGUGUUAUAACCGAAAAAUGUUCAAUACUGCUAUUCAUUUAAAUGCCCCAGUCUGAGAGGCAAAUAGAUUUCACUUGUCUGUCUGUUCGUCGGUUCAUUCAGCUGUCACAAAACAUUUUGUCACACGUAUCUCCGGCAGUAAAUUAGCAAGAGUCGUAAAACCAGCAUGUCUAGUUUUGCAUCUUAAGUUCUAUUUGUCUGUUGGCUGUUUGUAUGUUUGUCAAAUAAUCAUAUUUGUAUUUCACUUCAUCUGGUAACAUCCCCGAAUUGUUUUGGUUAUGUUACCAAACCUUUCAAGAUUUAGUUGGUAAUAUUCCCAGAAAUAUAUUUAACUCUGUCAAUAAAUGUGAGCUGGUUAAGCUCUGCGAUUAUGUUAAAGAAUCAGUAUGUAUUCGUAAUGUUAUUCCUAAUAAUAAUUAUUAUUAUUAUUAAUUUAGUUCAUCCUCUGAUACUGCUGCCUUUACGUUAACAUAUUUGUGUCUUUAACCAUAGCACUAACCAUGUACAAGCAUUUGAUAUCAAAAACCUAAGUGUAUGUGUUUAGACGAUGUUCUGAUGUAUAUGACUUAUAAACGUCUGUUCUGUUCUUUUCUGUGUUUUUUUUUAAAAUCAUAAUAUGCGAAAGUCCACACUUGUAUUUAAAAUAAUUAUUGUCAAAUUGUAAAAUUGCAAGAGACAUACCUGUGAUACUGAAAUAACAUUCUAGUAGGUUUAAACAACCAGGAAUAUGUAAUCUAUGUCUUUCUAUCAAUCAACACUUAUUAGAGUCAAACGUCAUGGUCAUAACUCAUAUUCGCCAUUAAAAUGUUGUCGUAUUUACUUAUUCCCUUCUAAGAGGACACAUUUUAUCUGCAAAUAUAUGUUAUCAUCUGAACACCAUUGAGCACUAUGUCUACUUUCCUCACACUUUGAAUGGUCAUAAUCUUUAAACUGCCUUAAAGUCAUCCAAUGGCAAUGACCAAUCAGCUGUCAUUUAAGUCCAUGCAUAUUUCGAUUGUUCAAAUAAUCCUGACAACAUGGCGCUCAGGGGUUGGUGGGGAUUAAUGUUUGACAAACAUCUCUUGUUAUAAAAUGUUUAUAUUUUUAUUGGAAAUAUUACCAACAUUUGCGAAUAUUGCAUGUUUUAGAAAUGUUUAGAACAAUUUUAGUCAUACUUAAGAUUAUUCUGGGAAUAUUACAAACAUGCUGUAAAACCUGCUGUUAAUUUUAAUACUAUGCAAUGAAGAUUUUGGUAAUAUUUCCAGAAUGUUUCAUGUCCUACAGCAGCCCACGUGGAGCUUUUUCUUUUGGAUUAUUUUAUUUCAAUUCAUCUUUUGAUAUGCCCAAAAAAGUCUUGGUAAUGUUUCCAAAUAUUUCAAGAUAAUAUAAUUGUAUUCAGGAUGAAUUUGAGAACGAUAACGGAAAAUGUUCGUAAUUCAUUUUGGGAAUAUUACCAAAUAUUUGUGACAAUUCUAGUUUAAGAAUGAUAUAGAAAAUCUCUCGGCAUAAUAUGGAUUAUUUUGGGAAUGUUCUCAAAAAUGUUGAAAAGCCCCAGUUUUCAAUACUAUACUAUGAACUGUUUGGUCUUACAUAAACUAUUUGUGGAGUUUUCAAAGGCUUUUUGUUGAAUUAGUUUGUUUUUAGUUCAUCUGGUAAUAUUCUCAAAUAAUUUUGGUAAUGUUACCAAAUAUCACGAUCAAAUUGGUAUUAUUCCCAGAAAACCUGGACAUUUUAUUCAGAAUCCUAGCAGAAAAUGUUCAUCAUUUAUUUUGGGAAUAUUACCAAAUAUUUGUGACUUUUCAUAGUUGAAGAAUAUUUUUGGAAAUUUCUCGGCAUAAUAUCGAUAGUUUUGGGAAUGUUCCCAAAAAUGUUAAAACCCCCACUAUAACUUUAAAUACUAUACUUUGAAAUGUUUGGUAAUAUUCCCGAAAGGUUUUGGUAAUGUUACCAGAAAUUUCAAGAUUAACUUUGGUAAUAUUCCCAGAAAACCUGGACAUUAUUUCCAAGACAAAUUUUAAAUGUUAGCCGAAAAUGUUCAUAAUUCAGAAAAAUUACCAAAUAUUUGUGACAACCCCUAGUUUUUAUUAAUUUUAGAAAACCUCUCAACAUACUAUGGAUACUUUUGGGAAUAUUACCAGAAAUGUUGAAAACCACACCAUAACUCUUCGAUACUAUAUUACAAAGUGUUUGGAAAUAUUUUCAAAUUGUUUUGGUAAUGUUACCAACUUUUCAAGAUCAAAUUGGAAAUAUUCCCAGAAAACCUGAACAUUAAACUCAGAAUAAUAGCAGAAAAUGUUCAUCACUUAUUUUGGGGAAUAUUACCAAAUAUUUGUGACUUUUCAUCGUUGAAGAAUAUUUUAGAAAAUCUCUCGGCAUAGUAUUGAUUAUUUUGGGAAUGUUCCCACAAAUGUUGAAGUUGGGAAUGUUCCCAAAAAUUCAGAUUCCUAGCAGAAAAUGUUCAUCAUUUUUUUGGGAAUAUUACCAAAUAUUUGUGACUUUUCAUAGUUGAAGAAUAUUUUAGAAAAUCUCUCGGCAUAGUAUGGAUUAUUUUGGGAAUGUUCCCACAGAUGUUAAAAAGCCCACCACAACUUUCAAUACUAUUCUACAAAGUGUUUGGAAAUAUUUUCAAAAUGUUUUGGUAAUGUUACCAAAUUUUCAAGAUCAAAUUGGUAAUAUUCCCAGAAAACCUGAACAUUAUAUUCAGAAUCCUAGCAGAAAAUGUUCAAAAUUUUUUGGGAAUAUUACCAAAUAUUUGUGACUUUUCAUAGUUGAAGAAUAUUUUAGAAAAUCUCUCGGCAUAGUAUCGAUUAUUUUGGGAAUGUUCCCACAAAUGUUAAAACCCCCACCACAACUUUCAAUACUAUACUACAAAGUGUUUGGAAAUAUUUUCAAAAUGUUUUGGUAAUGUUACCAAAUUUUCAAGAUCAAAUUGGUAAUAUUCCCAGAAAACCUGGCAUACUAUGGAUACUUUUGGGAAUAUUACCAGAAAUGUUGAAAACCACACUAUAACUCUUCAAUACUAUACUAUGAAGUGUUUGGUAAUAUUCCCAAAGAUAUUUCUAAUCCUACAGAAAUGCUUUGAGGACAUUACAAAGGGUUUCUGUUGAAUAAAAAUGUUACCAUGCUGAAAAGGGAAAGUUGCGUUUUCCCUUUUCAUUUUGCGGUUUGUUUAAGGUUUUCUUAAAUGAAAUUAAGUAUUUUAUUAACAAUUCUGGAAAGAAAUGAUGAGCUAUUGGUGUAAAUAUAGUAAUGAAUUAAUGUCCAUAACGGGAAAAGAAACAUUUCUUCUUGUUUACAUUUCUUCUUGUUUUGAACAUGUUGUUUACAUGGGACAGUUUUUUUAAGAAGACACACUGAUGUAAUGUAUUUACGGUAAAUGUCAACUGAUGGAAAUUUUAGUUUUCUCUGAAAUAUCUCAAAGCAGGGAAAGAUCAAUAACAAAGCAAUGUGAAGUCUCGUAAAUAAAGUAGAUCCUAUUAUACUUAAUGAAAGUAAAAUGAUGGUGACAAACGGUACCAACUGGAGAAACAUUUUCUCAGAAUAUACAUUUUUAAUGAUCACCUAGACAAAUAAAACGCUAUGUGGAUGUCUGUGGCCCAGCUUAACGAUCACCUAGCUUGAGAUGUGCCACAUACCAAUAACAGAGCAGAGCUUCACAAUCAAAACUUUGACAUCCAAAUGUUUGGUUAAAAUCUGUAUUAUAGAAACAAUAGAGGGCUUAACUCAGAACAAUGCCAUUUUUCACUGGCAUAUUUCACUGGCAUUUUUCUCUUUCUUUGGAAUAUACUUUCAACGGGUAGUCGAAGGCGACGUUUAAUUUGAGAUCAUUGAUCCAGAUAAUUAUAAUAUCAAAACCUAAAUACUUAACAAGUCUGUUGUAAAUGAACAAAAAAUUCAAUGUAUGCAUGCAUCUAGAUUUGUUCCCACAUGAAGGAACACAGUACAUGGGUCCAAUAAAUAAUGAAGGGUAGUAAAUACCUACAUUGAAAACAGAAACACUCCGGAGUGUUUGUACUUUACCAAGACAACUUAAACAAAUGACCUAUUAUUGGGAUGCAUUUCAUUAUUUAGUUAAAAAAAACAAAACUAUCUUUAUA